CCUUCGAUAGCUCAGUUGGAAGAGCGUGAGACUGUAAUUGGUUGCAUAAUAACAUCUCAAGGUCACUGGUUCGAUCCCGGUUCGAAGGA